CGUGUCGCUGCGAUGGCCGCCGCCAGCCGGGCUUGCGUACCGGGGCGUUCGCGGCGGGGCGGGCGGUGACAGAUGUAUCUGAAGAGGCCGGCGGGUGGCCUCGCCUUCUGCCUCUUCUACCUGGCGUCCUGCUUUACCAACAAGUAUGUCCUGUCUGUCCUGCAAUUUACCUACCCUACCCUUUUUCAAGGGUGGCAGACGUUAGUGGGCGGACUUCUGCUUCAUGUCUCCUGGAAGCUGGGCUGGGUGGAGAUAAACUUGUGUUCAAGGUCUGAAAUCCUGUCGUGGCUUCCUGCUUCAGUACUUUUUGUGGGCAUUAUUUAUGCUGGCUCUAGGGCACUGUCUAGAUUGCCAAUCCCAGUGUUCCUCACUGUGCACAACGCAUCAGAAGUUAUAACCUAUGGGUUCCAGAGGUUUGUGCAGAAAGAGCAGACCUCUCAUCUGAAAGUCUGUAGUGUGCUGUGCCUCCUGGUAGCAGCAGCGUGCCUUCCUUUAUGUGACACACAGUUUGAUCCAAAUGGUUACUUAUGGGCUCUAAUUCACUUGAUCUGUGUUGGUUAUCACUGCCAGCUUAUCACCGUUCUUCUUUGUCAUGACUGCCAAUGUGCUAACAAUUUCUUGUUCUGUUUUGGCUUGUGCAUCAGCAGUGCCUUGGCUUAUCAGCAAAGCUCUGGAAAUAGUUUCUUAGAUGACAGCAGCUGCAAAGCACUCCCAAGAUCAUUAAUCACUGAGUUUUUUAGUAUUGCUCCAGUGUUGUCAUGGACAAUAUCAUAUGUUAGUUUCUGAGUGAUGGACAAAUGCAGUUAGCUGUCAUCCCGCAAUAAACAGAAGCUGAAGGAUUUGCCAGAUGGUAAAUUGAAGGUAAAUCAAGGGCCCUCUUACAAUUGAACUAACAGAAGUUCGUUUUGUUUAUAAAGUUCAUUAAGGAGCUUUUCUGUUUCAUAAGCUAACUAAACCAUGGAGCUAAGAUGAAAGCCUUGUGACCAGUGCAGUUGGAGAAGCUUUGCUUGUUUACACUGAAAGGACAGGCACAUAAAGAGGAACCAGAUCUAACCAGCUGGAAAAGAGCUGACUUGCAGCCUGGAGAUCCUGUCAUGAAUAAAAUGUGGCAGCAAGAAUGAAGAAGUUGAACCAAACAUGAGGAAAAAGCCUUUUUUUUUUAUUAUUAAGAAAGAAAAGCAAUGCUAUUAUUAGUGCUGGUAAGACAGCAGCAUAGUUGACAGGAUGGUUAGGAGCCUUUGUCUCAAAGCACAAGACACGCUAUUUCUGAUUGAUGCGGUAAAGGAAAAACUGCACUGUCUCAUGCUGGUGGCUCUGUGUGAGAACCUCUCAAUAGCAGCUUCUUGCAGGGGGAACUGAAUUCAGGAAAAGCAGCAUCCCCACUGGAUGCCUCCAGUUCUUUUGUUGGAAACUGACAGCAGGUUGUACUGUCAGACUCCAGAUCCUGCCAUGAAUUCAGGAUCAGAAAGGAUGGAUUUUGUCUCCAGCUGUUCUGUAAGCAGCAAACUACCACACACAGGUCUCUAGUUGUGUCGUCUGAGUUGGCACAGUGACUGACAUGGGGCUUCUGGAGAUAAUCCCAUCCUGGAACUGGGGCAGUUUGACAGCUUUGCAGAAUGGGGAAUCAGCAAUAAACCAUAAACCUCAGUAUCUGUA